rnacentral:rRNA from 1 species
GCUUGCACCCCGCUGACGAGCGGCGGACGGGUGAGUAAUGCUUAGGAAUCUGCCCGGUAGUGGGGGACAACAGUCGGAAACGGCUGCUAAUACCGCAUACGCCCUACGGGGGAAAGCAGGGAUCUUCGGACCUUGCGCUAUUGGAUGAGCCUAAGUCGGAUUAGCUAGUUGGUGGGGUAAAGGCCUACCAAGGCGACGAUCCGUAGCUGGUCUGAGAGGAUGAUCAGCCACAUCGGGACUGAGACACGGCCCGAACUCCUACGGGAGGCAGCAGUGGGGAAUAUUGGACAAUGGGGGCAACCCUGAUCCAGCCAUGCCGCGUGUGUGAAGAAGGCUUUCGGGUUGUAAAGCACUUUCAGCGAGGAGGAAGGCCUUAAAGUUAAUACCUUUAGGGAUUGACGUUACUCGCAGAAGAAGCACCGGCUAACUCCGUGCCAGCAGCCGCGGUAAUACGGAGGGUGCAAGCGUUAAUCGGAAUUACUGGGCGUAAAGCGCGCGUAGGUGGUUUGGUAAGCGAGAUGUGAAAGCCCCGGGCUUAACCUGGGAACGGCAUUUCGAACUGUCAGACUAGAGUGUGGUAGAGGGUAGUGGAAUUUCCUGUGUAGCGGUGAAAUGCGUAGAUAUAGGAAGGA